rnacentral:rRNA from 1 species
CCUACGGGAGGCAGCAGUGAGGAAUAUUGGUCAAUGGUCGGAAGACUGAACCAGCCAAGCCGCGUGAGGGAGGAAGGUACAGAGUAUCGUAAACCUCUUUUGUCAGGGAACAAAGGCGGCGACGUGUCCCCGGAUGAGUGUACCUGAAGAAAAAGCAUCUGCUAACUCCGUGCCAGCAGCCGCGGUAAUACGGGGGUUGCGAGCGUUUUCCGGAUUUAUGGGGUUGAAAGGGUGCGCAGGCGGUCUGUUAAGUGCGCGGUCAAAGGCCGGGGCUCAACCCCGGCACGGCAGUGGAACCUGGCAGUCUGGAGUUGGGGAGAAGUAUGCGGAAUGCGCGGUGUAGCGGUGAAAUGCGUAGAUAUCGGGCAGAACUCCGAUGGCGAAGGCAGCAUGCUGGAUCGACACUGACGCUGAGGCACGAAAGCGUGGGGAGCGAACAGGAUUAGAUACCCUAGUAGUC